rnacentral:tRNA from 1 species
AGGCGCGUAGCUCAACCAGGUAGAGCACCGGUCUCCAAAACCGGCGGUUGGGGGUUCGAAUCCCUCCGCGCCUG